UAUCAAUAAGCGGAGGAAAAGAAACCAACAGGGAUUGCCCCAGUAACGGCGAGUGAAGCGGCAACAGCUCAAAUUUGAAAUCUGGCCCCUCCCCCGGGGGGGCCCGAGUUGUAAUUUGCAGAGGAUGCUUCUGGCGAGGUGCCUUCCGAGUUCCCUGGAACGGGACGCCACAGAGGGUGAGAGCCCCGUCUGGUCGGACACCGAGCCUCUGUGAAGCUCCUUCGACGAGUCGAGUAGUUUGGGAAUGCUGCUCUAAAUGGGAGGUAUAUGUCUUCUAAAGCUAAAUACCGGCCAGAGACCGAUAGCGCACAAGUAGAGUGAUCGAAAGAUGAAAAGCACUUUGAAAAGAGGGUUAAACAGUACGUGAAAUUGUUGAAAGGGAAGCGCUCACGACCAGACCUGGUCCCGGCGAAUCACCCGGCGUUCUCGCCGGUGCACUUCGACGGGCUUCCAGGCCAGCAUCAGUCCGCGCCGGGGGACAAAGGCGGCGGGAACGUGGCUCCCCAGGGAGUGUUAUAGCCCGCCGCGCAAUGCCCCGGGAGCGGACUGAGGACCGCGCGUCACCGCAAGGAUGCUGGCGUAAUGGUCUUCAGCGACCCGUCUUGAAACACGGACCAAGGAGUCGUCCUCGUAUGCGAGUGUUGGGGCGUCAAACCCCCCGCGCGUAAUGAAAGUGAACGGCAGGUGAGAGCCCUCGCGGGCGCAUCAUCGACCGAUCCUGAUGUUCUCGGAUGGAUUUGAGUAAGAGCAUACGGGGCCGGACCCGAAAGAAGGUGAACUAUGCCUGUGUAGGGUGAAGCCAGAGGAAACUCUGGUGGAGGCUCGCAGCGGUUCUGACGUGCAAAUCGAUCGUCAAACAUGGGCAUGGGGGCGAAAGACUAAUCGAACCUUCUAGUAGCUGGUUUC
rnacentral:rRNA from 1 species